UGAGGAAUAUUGCCCAAUGGGGGAAACCCUGAGGCAGCAACGCCGCGUGAACGACGAAGACCUUCGGGUUGUAAAGUUCUUUUCUGAAGGAAGAUAAUGACGGUACUUCAGGAAUAAGCUCCGGCUAACUACGUGCCAGCAGCCGCGGUAAAACGUAGGGGGCAAGCGUUAUCCGGAUUUACUGGGCGUAAAGCGCCCGUAGGCGGACAGGCAAGUUGGACGUGAAAGCUCCUGGCUUAACUGGGAGAGGUCGUUCAAGACUGCCUAUCUAGAGGUUGGCAUAGGCGUGUGGAAUUCCCGGUGUAGAGGUGGAAUGCGUAGAUAUCGGGAGGAAGACCAGUGGCGAAAGCGAUGCGCUGGGUCAAACCUGACGCUGAGGGGCGAAAGCGUGGGGAGCGAACGGGGAUUAGAUACCCCGGUAGUCCACGCUGUAAACGAUGGAUACUAGGUGUAGGCGGUUAUUUACCCCGUCUGUGCCGCAGCCAACGCGUUAAGUAUCCCGCCUGGGGAGUACGACCGCAAGGUUAAACU
rnacentral:rRNA from 1 species